CCUACGGGUGGCUGCAGUGAGGAAUAUUGGUCAAUGGACGAGAGUCUGAACCAGCCAAGUAGCGUGAAGGAUGACUGCCCUAUGGGUUGUAAACUUCUUUUAUAUGGGAAUAAAAUGUUCCACGUGUGGGAUUUUGUAUGUACCAUAUGAAUAAGGAUAGGCUAACUCCGUGCCAGCAGCCGCGGUAAUACGGAGGAUCCGAUCGGUAUCCGGAUUUAUUGGGUUUAAAGGGAGCGUAGGGGGAUUGUUAAGGCAGUUGUGAAAGUUUGCGGCUCAACCGCAAAAUUGCAGUUGAAACUGGCAGUCUUGAGUACAGUAGAGGUGGGCGGAAUUCGUGGUGUAGCGGUGAAAUGCUUAGAUAUCACGAAGAACUCCGAUUGCGAAGGCAGUUCACUGGACUGCAACUGACACUGAGGCUCGAAAGUGUGGGUAUCAAACAGGAUUAGAUACCCCUGUAGUC
rnacentral:rRNA from 1 species